rnacentral:lncRNA from 1 species
CAUUGUGCAUGGAUUCCACGACCCAAGGAAAGAGGCCACUCCCAGUUAAGCUGGAGCGAAUGCAGAAUUUGAAAUUGAUUUAUUAUGGG